rnacentral:tRNA from 2 species
GCUCUCGUGGCGGAACGGAAGACGCACGCUUACCGAGGAUCUAGUUUUUUGCAGGUUCAAAUCCUGUCGGGAGUACCA